rnacentral:snoRNA from 12 species
AAGACCGUACUAACUAGGAUCAUUUCUAUAGUAUGCGUCCUGUCAUUGUAAUUCUACAAAGACAACCCACCGAACCAUGAUGAUGAGCUGUUGUGACAGCGCCUGAGCGUGAUGCUAAUCAACUAGAGGCUUGCAGUCUUUAGUUGAUUUAGAUGAUCGUUCUGUCCGCCUAUAAUGGUGGAUAGAGGGCGCUCUCACCAGCUGAAUGGU